AAGUCAAGCAGUGCCAGAUGCUGAUGAAAUAGCGGCUUAAACGGAUCCAUCUUCUUGAAUUGAACUCCUACCCGGCGGUGACAUCACUAGCCUUUGGGCUUAGUUAAGACUGAUUUCUUCCUGCCUUUGUCACAUAGACUUGACCUGCUCCUGGGCAACAGAGAGAGACAAGGGCUUCCUCUAGAAUAAGUAAUUUUUUCUAUUCUUUAUCACCCGAAGGAACUGAAAUACCUUUCGCCUCAUCUCUUUCACUCUGCUCUGGUUAAAUGAAAAUGCCACUUUGCGGUAAGACAUUGAAUCUUCGAGUUAUCAUCAAAUAAAUGCAUGGGUUUUUUCAUAGCUACUUUUUCUUCCCAUACAGAAUGAGUUCCGUCCCUUUCGACAUACGCCCUACCCCCUUCAUGUUCCUAAGGUCAAUUAAAGGAUCCGUUCACCCUACCUAUCGAGAUAGACACAGGUGGUAGUCUCAUUACUAAUUCCACUAGCAGGCGAUCGGUUUAGUUCUGGAUCAUCUACGCCUCUGGUCCUUAAGAGUCUUUUCUACGCUACGAUCUUUGAUUAAAAAAAGCGAGAUGCUUCCAAAAAAUAUAGUUUGAUUUCAUUAUUUUCAUCAAGGUCCGUUGUUGUGACUGGAAGAAUUGAUU
rnacentral:lncRNA from 1 species